GAAAGAUUCAUCGGAAGAGGAUGGGCAUGCGGCGCAUUAGCUAGACGGCGGGGUAACGGCCCACCGUGGCGACGAUGCGUAGGGGUUCUGAGAGGAAGGUCCCCCACACUGGUACUGAGACACGGACCAGACUCCUACGGGAGGCAGCAGUGAGGAAUAUUGGUCAAUGGGAGAGAUCCUGAACCAGCCAAGCCGCGUGAGGGAAGACGGCCCUAUGGGUUGUAAACCUCUUUUGUCGGAGAACAAAACCCGGGACGAGUCCCGGACUGCGUGUAUCCGAAGAAAAAGCAUCGGCUAACUCCGUGCCAGCAGCCGCGGUAAUACGGAGGAUGCGAGCGUUAUCCGGAUUUAUUGGGUUUAAAGGGUGCGUAGGCGGUCUGUUAAGUCAGCGGUAAAAUUGCGGGGCUCAACCCCGCCGAGCCGUUGAAACUGGCAGACUUGAGUUGGCGAGAAGUACGCGGAAUGCGCGGUGUAGCGGUGAAAUGCAUAGAUAUCGCGCAGAACUCCGAUUGCGAAGGCAGCGUACCGGCGCCAGACUGACGCUGAGGCACGAAAGCGUGGGGAUCGAACAGGAUUAGAUACCCUGGUAGUCCACGCAGUAAACGAUGAAUGCUGGUUGUCCGGGUCGAAUGAGACCUGG
rnacentral:rRNA from 1 species